CGCCCCGCCCGCCGCGCGCGGCGGGCGGGGCGGGGGCACGGGGGGUUAAGUCAGGCAACGAGCGAGACCCACGCGAGCAGUUGCCAGCUUGACCUUCGGGUUGAUGGGGACACUGCUCGGACCGCCUCUGCUAAAGGGGAGGAAGGAAUGGGCAACGGUAGGUCAGCAUGCCCCGAAUUAUCCGGGCUACACGCGGGCUACAAUGGAUAGGACAAUGGGUUUCUACACCGAGAGGUGAUGACAAUCUCCUAAACCUGUCCGAAGUUCGGAUUGCGGGUUGUAACUCACCCGCAUGAAGCUGGAAUCUGUAGUAAUCGCGUUUCAACAUAACGCGGUGAAUAUGUCCCUGCUCCUUGCACAAAA
rnacentral:rRNA from 1 species